rfam:Brassica napus, WGS project CCCW01000000 data, contig: 5583
GCCGUCUUAGCUCAGUGGUAGAGCGCGUGACUUUUAAUCCCGUGGCCGUGGGUUCGAUGCCCAACAGACGGCG